ensembl:lncRNA
CUAGGCCAUGGCCGAAGGCAGUUUCACCACAGCAGUGCUGGGGCUGCUUGUCCCCCUUCCCUGCUCGCCACUGCUCCUUUCAUCCUCACACCACCAUCCUCAGUCUUCUCAGCUGGUCUGGGAUGCACAGUUUUGGGUGUGCCAUGCUUCAGGUUACUGAACGCAAUGUGGGUGUGGCACACCCUCAGUCCUGCAGUGGAUGGAAUAAAGCAGAGCACAGUGUGGCAUCUCUCCUGGAAAUGAACACCUGAAGAUGCAUUUUAGACCUUAAAGAGCUACACUACCAGUGCCUCUGAUGUCUGAAGCCUCUGAGAUUUGCUAUUGAAGCUCUGAUCAACCCCAGGCCAGCCACAUUCGUCUCCCAGCUGCCCAAUAAAAUGAAACUGAGAAGUAUAAAAGUGGAGUAGAAAGCCGAGCUUCAUAACUGUGCCAGAG